rnacentral:misc_RNA from 1 species
AACGCACGAGACCUGCGGACCUGCGGAAGGAUCAUUACCGAGUUUACAACUCCCAAACCCAAUGUGAACGUUACCAAACUGUUGCCUCGGCGGGAUCUCUGCCCCGGGUGCGUCGCAGCCCCGGACCAAGGCGCCCGCCGGAGGACCAACCUAAAACUCUUAUUGUAUACCCCCCUCGCGGGUUUUUUUAUAAUCUGAGCCUUCUCGGCGCCUCUCGUAGGCGUUUCGAAAAUGAAUCAA